AGUUUGAUCAUGGCUCAGAUUGAACGCUGGCCGGGAUGCUUUACACAUGCAAGUCGAACGGCAGCACGGACUUCGGUCUGGUGGCGAGUGGCGAACAGGUGAAGUAACAUCAGAACGUGCCUAGUAGCGGGGGGAUGACUACGCCGCGUAGCUAAUACCGCAUACCCUUCCGGGAAAGCGGGGGGACCUUCCGGGCCUCGCACUAUUAGAGCGGCCGAUAUCGGAUUAGCUAGUUAGGCAGGGUAACGGCUCGCAAGGCGACGAUCCGUAGCUGGUUUGAGAGGACGACCAGCCACACUGGGACUGAGACACGGCCCAGACUCCUACGGGGAGGCAGCAGUGGGGAAUUUUGGACAAUGGAAGCCACAGUCCAGCCAUCCCGCGUGUGCGAUGAAGGCCUUCGGGUGUAACAAGCUUGCACGGCGGGAAAGAAACGGCACGGGAUAAUACCCCGUGCAACUGACGGUACCUGCAGAAUAAGCACCGGCUAACUACGUGCCAGCAACCGCGGUAAUACGUAGGGUGCAAGCGUUAAUCGGAAUUACUGGGCGUAAAGCGUGCGCGGAGAGCGGUUCGGAAGAAGAUGUGAAAUCCCAGAGCUUAACUUUGGAACUGCAUUUUUAACUACCGAGCUAGAGUGUGUCAAGAGGAGGUGGAAUUCCGCGUGUAGCAGUGAAAUGCGUAGAUAUGCGGAGGAGGAACACCGAUGGCAAAGCGGCCUCUCAGGAUAACACUGACGCUCAUGCACGAAAGCGUGGGAGCAAACAGGAUUAGAUACCCUGGUAGUCCACGCCCUAAACGAUGUCAACUAGCUGUUGGGGCCUUCGGGCCUUGGUAGCGCAGCUAACCGUGAAGUUGACCGCCUGGGAAGUACGGUCGCAAGAUUAAAACUCAAAGGAAUUGACGGGGACCCGCACAAGCAGUGGAUGAUGUGGAUUAAUUCGAUCAACGAAAAACACCUACCCUUGACAUGUCUGGAAUCCCGAAGAGAUUUGGGAGUGCUCGCAAGAGAACCGCACAGGUGCUGCAUGGCUGUCGUCAGCUCGUGUCGUGAGAUGUUGGGUUAAGUCGCAACGAGCGCAACCCUUGUCAUUAGUUGCUACCGAAAGGGCACUCUAAUGAGACUGCCGGUAGCAAACCGGAGGAAGGUGGGGAUGACGUCAAGUCCUCGCGAAACAUGGGUAGGGCUUCACACGUCAUACAAUGGUCGGGACAGGGGUCGCCAACCCGCGAGGGGGAGCCAAUCUGACCCGAUCGUAGUCCGGAUCGCGGUCUGCAACUCGACUGCGUGGAAGUCAGAAUCGCUAGUAAUCGCGGAUCAGCAUGUCGCGGUGAAUACGUUCCGGGUCUUGUACACACCGCCCGUCACACCAUGGGAGUGGGUUUUACCGAAGUAGUUAAAGCCUAACCGUAAGGAGGGCGAUUACCACGGUAGGAUUCAUGACUGGGGUGAAGUCGUAACAAGGUAA
rnacentral:rRNA from 1 species